rnacentral:rRNA from 1 species
GACGAACGCUGGCGGCGUGCCUAAUACAUGCAAGUCGAACGCUUCUUUCCUCCCGAGUGCUUGCACUCAAUUGGAAAGAGGAGUGGCGGACGGGUGAGUAACACGUGGGUAACCUACCCAUCAGAGGGGGAUAACACUUGGAAACAGGUGCUAAUACCGCAUAACAGUUUAUGCCGCAUGGCAUAAGAGUGAAAGGCGCUUUCGGGUGUCGCUGAUGGAUGGACCCGCGGUGCAUUAGCUAGUUGGUGAGGUAACGGCUCACCAAGGCCACGAUGCAUAGCCGACCUGAGAGGGUGAUCGGCCACACUGGGACUGAGACACGGCCCAGACUCCUACGGGAGGCAGCAGUAGGGAAUCUUUGGCAAUGGACGAAAGUCUGACCGAGCAACGCCGCGUGAGUGAAGAAGGUUUUCGGAUCGUAAAAUUCUGUUGUUAGAGAAGAACAAGGACGUUAGUAACUGAACGUCCCCUGACGGUAUCUAACCAGAAAGCCACGGCUAACUACGUG